rnacentral:rRNA from 1 species
GUGCCAGCCGCCGCGGUAAAACCAGCACCUCAAGUGGUCAGGAGGAUUAUUGGGCCUAAAGCAUCCGUAGCCUGCUCUGUAAGUUUUCGGUUAAAUCCAUCAGCUCAACUGAUGGGCCGCCGAAAAAACUGCAAAGCUAGGGAGUGGGAGAGGUAGACGGUACUCGAUAGGAAGGGGUAAAAUCCUUUGAUCUAUUGAUGACCCCCUGUGGCGAAGGCGGUCUACCAGAACACGUUCGACGGUGAGGGAUGAAAGCUGGGGGAGCAAACCGGAUUAGAUACCCGGGUAGUCCCAGCUGUAAACGAUGCAGACUCGGUGAUGCCCUGGCUUGUGGCCAGUGCAGUGCCGCAGGGAAGCCGUUAAGUUUGCCGCCUGGGAAGUACGUACGCAAGUAUGAAACUUAAAGGAAUUGGCGGGGGAGCACCACAAGGGGUGAAGCCUGCGGUUCAAUUGGAGUCAACGCCAGAAAUCUUACCCGAAGAGACAGCAGAAUGAAGGUCAAGCUGGAGACUUUACCAGACAAGCUGAGAAGUGGUGCAUGGCCGUCGCCAGCUCGUGCCGUGAGAUGUCCUGUUAAGUCAGGUAACGAGCGAGAUCCCUGCCUCUAGUUGCCACCAUUACUCUCAGGAGUAGUGGGGCGAAUUAGAGGGACCGCCACAGUUAAUGUGGAGGAAGGAAGGGGCCACGGCAGGUCAGUAUGCCCUGAAACUUUGGGGCCACACGCGGGCUGCAAUGGUAGUGACAAUGAGUUCCUAAUCCGAAAGGAGGAGGUAAUCUUCAAACGCUACCACAGUUAUGAUUGAGGGCUGCAACUCGCCCUCAUGAAUAUGGAAUCCCUAGUAACCGCGUGUCAUUACCGCGCAGUGAAUACGUCCCUGCUCCUUGCACACACCGCCCGUC